GAAUAUAUUCAAAGACAGUACUUUCAGAGUAAAAGAAAACGUGAGGUAGAAAUGAGACAACAAUCCAACGACACAAAUACUUCUAGCCAAAAUUUUGCCAAGAAAUGGAAUUUUAUAUAUCGUGUGACAGGAUGUGUGAAUAUGUUAUUACAAAGAAAAGGGAAAUUAACAAUUUGAAAUUAAAGUUAAUUUAGAUAAAAUAAUAGAUAAACAAAAUACUACAAUACGAAAUAAUCCCUAAAACUUAAUAAAAUGGUAAAAAAAGGCAUUAUAUUAAGUAAAAAAAUAGGUCUCAUUUGAAUAAUCUUACUCCAAAGUCCGCUAUAAAUAAAGAAAGAUGGGAGUGACCGAAAACGAAUGAAUUUUUUCCAACGACCAUAACUGCAAAAGGUUUAUUUAUAGCGGACUUUGGAGUAAGAUUAUUCAACUGAGACCUUUUUUUUUACUUUUACAUAAUGCCUUUUUUACCAUUUUAUUAAGUUUUAGGGAUUAUUUCGUAUUGUAGUAUUUUGUUUAUCUAUUAUUUUAUCUAAAUUAACUUUAAUUUCAAAUUGUUAAUUUCCCUUUUCUUUGUAAUAACAUAUCACUAUCCAUUAGUCCAUAUGUUGAUUUCAAUGGAACUUUCACAGACUCUUAAUCAGCUGAUGGUAUUAGGGACCUCCUGUGGUGAUUAUUGAUCCAAAUCAUGUUGAAGGUUUCACAUAGGAUAACAUGAGCUGUAUAAUAUAAUUUAUCUUACCUUCUAUACAUUUCUAGGAAUAUGAUUGGUUAAAAGCGUCCGCGUGGAGACCGUGUAUAUUCCAUAUUAGUUUAGUAAGGAGGCGGGGCUUAUUUCAUACACGGUUAGUAGUGGUGUUACGUCCCUUUAUAAAAACAAAACGGUAUUGAGAAAAAAUCUUAAAGGUUUCAACAGACGAAGAAAUUGAUGAUGAUCAUGAAGAUAGAAAUAAAUUCAUAAAACACAUUUAAACCUAACAAGUUGUUAUUGUUGGAAUUUGUUUUUGUAGGAUCAAUGGAAGUAGUUUCUUAAUGCUAACGGUAUUGAAGACUUGCUCAUUUUGAUAGGUCACUAGUCUAAAUUUCACACGUCAAGAUAGUCGGUAAGAUAAAUUCGUUACAUAGUGUGCUAGUGACGUAAUACGGUAUAUAUGGGGUCACUAGCACACUAUGUAACUAAUAUUAUAUUGGGUUGAGGGGAUUCAGAAUUCCUUUGUGAGCUGGACUGGAAGUUUUUCAAGUUUAUUUUGACCCCGGGGGUGCUUGCCAUUCCACGAUAAUGAUAUUUUAUAUUUGAUAUAAAAGUUAUUUUAAAUGCAAUAUAUAUUUUUCUAGUGUGUAUUGGAUAAUAUAAACAAAGAAACAUGAUUUAUUAAAGUGUGUUCGAAAUUCAAGAA